ensembl:lncRNA
AGGAACAUAGGAGAGAGAGAAGAGGGAAAAGGGAGUAAAUAGAGAAAAGGAUAGAAGAGAUGUGAGGGGUAAAUAUAGAAGAGGAGAGGGGGAUGUGAGGGGUAAAUAUAGAAGAGGGUAGAGGGAUGUGAGGGGUAAAUAUAGAAGAGAAUAGAGGGAUGUGAGGAGUAAAUAUAGAAGAGAGGAGAGGGAUGUGAGGGGUAAAUAUAGAAGAGGAGAGAAGGAUGUGAGGGGUAAAUAUAGAAGAGGGGAGAGUGAAGUGAGGGGUAAAUAUAGAAGAAGAGAGAGGGAUGUGAGGGGUAAAUAUAGAAGAGGGGAGAGGGAUGUGAGGGGUAAAUAUAGAGGUGGAAAGAGGGAUGUGAGGGGUAAAUAUAAAAGAGGAUAGAGGGAUGUGAGGGG